AUCUACAGUUUGUGUAACCAUCUGUAUAUCCCGCCCACAAGGCAGCAGUCUGUUGGUUGGCGCUUUAAAUAAAAGCAUCUGAUUGGUCGGAAUGUGCUGCUCGUCAAAACUCCCGGAACUAGAGUACACACGCCGGUUUAUUGUGUAACUGACUCAUCUGUCCUCCGUGCAGCCUGCAGCAUGCCGACUUCUCCCGUGAAAACGCGGAUCCCCCUAACCAGCUUUGGUCACCUGAUCACAGAGGUGAAGAGCUGUGUGAUCCCCGCUCCCUGGUUGGACCACGACGGCAGAGGCGUGGCUGCAACCAGGAGUCCUGUGAUUGGUGCGGCGCUCACCAGGCUGACCAGCCGAAAACUGCCAACUCUUUUAAAAGAGUUAGCGCUUCAACUGAACGAGGCAGCUGACUUCCAGCGUGCCAUUCUGUGUUUCUGUGUGGUUGAGGCAAGAUUGUCUGUGUGGUUGGAAUUGGGCUAGGAUUAGUAUUACAAACUGAUACAGCAACAUUUCAUUACAUUACAGGUAGUUUUCUUUUGUCUAGUUUUCACCAGGGUUAGGGGUCCUGGCUCCCAUGUAGUUUUGUUUUGUGCCAGUUCCCAGGUAGUGAGCCUUUUUGUUUAACCUUUUCUUUUGUCCACAGUGGUUGUGUAGUAGUGUAGUGUUAAGUUCUCCUUAUGAGAACUCUUCUUGUGUUUUGCUGUUUUCUUUAAUUUGAGCAGCACCCACCAGCCCUCUUCCUUAGUUUUGCCUCAUUUGUAUAGUAUUGUGCACAUUUUUGUUCAAACUUUUCUGUAAUAAAUAAUUUGAUUUUUACCAACUAAAA